ACCUACGGGAGGCAGCAGUGAGGAAUAUUGGUCAAUGGUCGGGAGACUGAACCAGCCAAGCCGCGUGAGGGAUGAAGGCACAGAGUAUCGUAAACCUCUUUUGUCAGGGAACAAAGGCGGGGACGUGUCCCCGGAUGAGUGUACCUGAAGAAAAAGCAUCGGCUAACCCCGUGCCAGCAGCCGCGGUAAUACGGAGGAUGCGAGCGUUAUCCGGAUUUAUUGGGUUUAAAGGGUGCGCAGGCGGUCUGUUAAGUCAGCGGUCAAAGCCCGGGGCUCAACCCCGGCCCGCCGUUGAAACUGGCAGU
rnacentral:rRNA from 1 species